GACGAACGUUGGCGGCGUGCUUAACACAUGCAAGUCGAACGGAAAGGCCCUGCUUGCAGGGUACUCGAGUGGCGAACGGGUGAGUAACACGUGGGUGAUCUGCCCUGCACUUCGGGAUAAGCCUGGAAAACUGGGUCUAAUACCGGAUAGGAGCCAUUUUUAGUGUGAUGGUUGGAAAGUUUUUUCGGUGUAGGAUGAGCUCGCGGCCUAUCAGCUUGUUGGUGGGGUAAUGGCCUACCAAGGCGGCGACGGGUAGCCGGCCUGAGAGGGUGGACGGCCACAUUGGGACUGAGAUACGGCCCAGACUCCUACGGGAGGCAGCAGUGGGGAAUAUUGCACAAUGGGCGCAAGCCUGAUGCAGCGACGCCGCGUGGGGGAUGACGGCCUUCGGGUUGUAAACUCCUUUCGCUAGGGACGAAGCUUUUUGUGACGGUACCUAGAUAAGAAGCACCGGCUAACUACGUG
rnacentral:rRNA from 1 species